UACGUGGGGGGCUAGCGUUGUCCGGAUUUAUUGGGCGUAAAGAGCGUGUAGGCGGCCAGGUAGGUCUGCUGUGAAAACUCGAGGCUCAACCUCGAGACGUCGGCGGAAACCAUCUGGCUAGAGUCCGGAAGAGGAGAGUGGAAUUCCUGGUGUAGCGGUGAAAUGCGCAGAUAUCAGGAAGAACACCCGUGGCGAAGGCGGCUCUCUGGGACGGUACUGACGCUGAGACGCGAAAGCGUGGGGAGCGAACCGG
rnacentral:rRNA from 1 species